rnacentral:rRNA from 1 species
GUUAGGAAUCUUCCACAAUGGGGGCAACCCUGAUGGAGCAACACCGCGUGCUGGAUGAAGGCCUUCGGGUCGUAAACAGCUUUUGUAUACGAAGAAUAUGACGGUAAUAUACGAAUAAGGGUCGGCUAACUACGUGCCAGCAGCCGCGGUCAUACGUAGGACCCAAGCGUUAUCCGGAGUGACUGGGCGUAAAGAGUUGCGUAGGCGGCUUAUUAAGCGAGUAGUGAAAUCUGGUGGCUCAACCAUCAACACAUUGCUCGAACUGAUAGGCUUGAGAAUGGUAGAGGUAGUUGGAAUUUCUUGUGUAGGAGUGAAAUCCGUAGAUAUAAGAAGGAACACCAAUGGCGUAGGCAGACUACUGGAACAUUUCUGACGCUGAGGCACGAAAGCGUGGGGAGCGACCCGGAUUAGAAACCCGGGUAGUCC